AUAGGCAUGUUCUAAUGAAUUGACCUCGCGUAGAAUAAGCUCUUUUUGUAAGUCAUCUCGCAAUCCGGACCUAAACCUAGAAAGGGUCAAUUCCACACUCUCACGUGCAUCGUAUCGCAUGAAGAACUCAUCAAAGCGAGCGAUGUACUCAGACACAGGUUUGUUUCCUUGAAUCAGUCGUUGCCACUGAUCUAACAGGCGACUCUUAUAGGAUGUAGGGAGAUAUUUUUC
rnacentral:lncRNA from 1 species